CCACCACCCGCCCCAUUCAGCUCCUGCCAGCGCCGUCUUGAAUUUUUUUUACCCCUUUGCAGACUUGUUUUUUUGCUUCGCCGCGGUGGACGCAGAGAGUAAAGAGCCGAGGUCAAGGACACGCAGCAGCAGCAGCUGUUUGGAUGCAGGAAUGGAGUCUCCAGCAGAACCACAGAGAAGCCCAGCCAAAUGUUCUCCUCCUCUCGUUUUACUUCAACUUCUCAUUCGUAACUUUUUAUAUGUGCAGCUCUUGUUUCUGUUGCGGAGUUGUGUGUGCAGGGCUGCACGUGUGCGCGAGCUCACCGCAACACCGAAUUGGUUUUAUUCCGGAAAACCUAAAGGACGCAGCUCAUUUUGUGCGUGCUUGCACCUGUUUGUUUGUUUGUGUUUGUUUGUUUGUUUGUUUGUUUGUUUGUUUGUUCACUGCAGGACGAGGGAGAUGCACCUUUACUGCACGUGCAUCUACGUCCCUGAUCAUUUAAGAGGUAAAAUUUUACAUCGAUUUUUGUAACAGAACAUUUAUAGCUGAUGCAUUAUCUGUAGAAUAUCUUAAUAGCGUUUAUAAUUAAUUAGAUUUAUUAUUAUUAUUAUUAUUAUUAUUAUUAUUAUUAUUAUUAUUAUUAUUAUUAUUAUUAUUAUUAAAAGACACAUUAGUCAUCUCCUUACAUGUAAGUUGUAAAAGCAUUUAUUUCAUUUGGACUUCAUCAUUUAUUAAAAAAAACAUCAGUAUUAAUAAAUAAAAUGUAUUGUUUAAAAUGUAUUUUGCACUUUCGUCCAGCUGGUGAUUAUGUUGUGUCUGUGCAGGGCCUUUAGCCCUCCUGUCUAAGGGACUGGUUCCCGUCCAGUUCCGCUGGAUAAAGGCAGCUCUGGAGUCGAUAAGAGAUCGGAGCUGCUGUUGUCUGCUGGGAGUGUGGCAUGGAACACGUUUAUCGAUUAAUCAUGUAUUCACACCAAUCGAUACAAAUGUAUUAUUAUUAUUAUUAUUAUUAUUAUUAUUAUUAUUAUUAAUUAUUUUUAGAACACUUUCAAACAUAUACCAGAACGUAGCUUCGUUGGCAUCUAAGAGAAGCAGGUGAAGAGUUCCUGUAGAAAUUACAUGAAUUUUGUUAAUUUUUAAUAAUUGAUGACUUAGUCCCUCGUGUAAAAUAUUAAAUAUAUUUCUUUCAGUGAAGGGAAAAUUCUCAAAAGCUCAAAUAUCUGCAUGCAGUGCGGAUGAAAGAAGCAGCGAGUCGAUAGACUAAUAAUAAAUUGGGUGAAUAAGUGGACAAAGGUUUUGUUUAUGCGUCUGAGGGAACGGACAUCAAUAAACCAUCGUCUCAAUCGACUUGUUCCAUUGAUGCUUCUAUUUUUCACCCAGAAGAUAAAAAACAAAGAGAAACAAAAGAAAUCCAGCAAAACUUUGCUCAAUCUUGCGGGAUUGUUCCAAUACAGUUCAGGCCUGCGCCUUUUUGGCUCGGACAAAUGAUUUCACACGGUGCAACUCAUUCUAAAGGAGCAAUUAGCUGCAAUUAUGCUUGCAAAGAAGGAGAAAAAGUGUUUCUGUCCGUGUCUGGCCGGCAGGGAAUUCUGCACCAUUUAAAUGGGAGUUUGUGCAGAAAUGUGGAGAGGCUAUGAUGGGAAAACUUCGUCUUCUCCUGUUGAAGUCUGGAAGGAGCGCUGCGCCACUGGCUCCGUCCCAGGAAGCGCCACGCGCCACCAGGGUCCCUCUCACUUUUAGUAAUCCUCUCUAAUUAGACUAAAACGGGAGCAGACGAGGCUCUAAACGGAAGUGAAAACAAACAAAAGAAUGUUUAAACCCAUUUUAUUUCAAUCCUCUGAAUAUGUUUUAAAUAAUUAGGGCAUUCUUAUUAUUAUUAUUGUUAUUAUUAUUAUUUGGGGUGAAGGAUCUCAUACUGUAAUGAAAUAUUGGUUGCAUAUGAUGCCUUUUGAGGCUGGUUGGAACAAUAAAAAAAUAUGGUAAUGUAAACAAACAAAUACAGACCCCCUCCCUGCAAAAAUAAAUAAAAACAUUAAAACAUUUGAUUAUUCCCUCGCCUCCUGUUGCGUGCUUCAUAUCCAAAAGCAACACAGACUGAUUGAAACAUGAUAAUCUCACAGAAAAUCACCUGGUCACAAGCCUCCAACAGUUUAUAUUAGUUUUCUGACAGCGACGUGAAAAGAUUGACUCCCUAAAACCAACAGGCGCGUGCGCUCAUGAGAGGUGCGCGCGUCUUGGUUGAGGCGGGGUUCCAGAAGUUUACGACAGAGUGGACUGCUGUGGUGAGACUGCGGUGACUGUACCUCCCACUCCCCCUCUCACACGCACACACACACACACACACACACACACACACACACACACACACACACACACACACACACACACACACACACACACACACACACACACACACACACACACACACACACACACACACACACACACACACACACACACUGUAACACAAGCUUUAUCCGCGGUGGAGAAGGGCUCCGGCUCUCUGGAUUAGGGCUCAUGUGCGCAGAUAAGAUCGUUAGAUAUGUGGAAACUGAGCCCCUCUCGCGGUGAGGCGCGCGGAUGAGAAGCCGCAGCGGGCAAUGUUUAUUUAUUUGUUUAGAUUUUUUAGGCGCGUGAGCUUUGUAAAUUAGCUAACUGUAAUUCUGGCUCUGAUGACGCCACGGGAGAUAAAACACAUCCAACAGCUCACGCCUCUGUCACUUGAAACAUGCAGACCAAAUGACGUAGUCAUAUGUUUUUCCACUGAUUGAUAAAUUCUCCAGUUUUCCCAGCAGCUAAUCAAUCACGCAAUCUAUUUUCUUUCUGUCCUCUCAUGAAGCCUGAGGAGAAGCUCGGUCCACAGAAGUCCUCUCUAAUGAAGCACACAGAAGCUGCCCUGCGCUGUUAACAUGCUGUCAGAAGCAGACGGGCGCUGCUCUGCAGCUACGGGAGCAGGCAAGUGAAGAGGUCAAAGGGCAAAUAUAGUGCUCAAGCGCGCUGCAGGACGCACGGUCUGAAGGCGAGUUUCCAACAAAGGGGCUUCACACCUGAGGAGAGCUUGCAAAGUGCAAGUUUAUUUAAUUUGUCACCAAACACACAGAACCAUGAAAAUAAAGAAAAAUAAAGAAACAUCUGUUCAUUUUUUUCAAAACAUACAUUUAUUUUAUUAAGUGGAUAAUAAAAAAUAUACUUUAAAAUAAUGAUUUAUUUAAUUUCUUCUCCGAGGACUAACAAAUAUAGCUUUUACGCAGUUAUUAUUAUUAGUAGUAAUAGUAGUCGUAGUAGUAGUAGUAGUAGUAGUAGUAGUAGAAGAAGUAGUAAUAGUAGUAGUACUCAGAAUAAUAUAUUUGUGAUCUUGUUUUCCCUUUUAACAUAAAUCAAUGAAUACAAAAUAAAUAAAAAUGAAUAAUCAGA